GGAAGAGCAGUCCGCCGUAUGGCGGAAGCGGCCGGUUGAAACCCGGCAGGUGAUGGUUCGACCCCAUCCUCCUCCA
rnacentral:tRNA from 1 species